AGGCUAAAUUUUGGGGGGUAUGCCGGAGGGCUUUAUGAGUGGGUCCCUUUCAUUUCCUGGCACCGUUACCCGAGUCUAGUUUUCCGCUGCAUCUUGAUAAGUCAAUUUUGGGUAGAGCAGGGAGAACGGAUCGUCAGGGAGAGAGUUAGCGUCCCAAAUCCCUUUCAGCUCCAAGGAAGUUUUCGGGUCCCCGUCUCCCCUUCAGCAACAGAAUGGCUAUCCUUUGGUGAAUUAAUUGAUUGUUUGCAGACAUGUUUUCCGAAGCUCUAUGGGCUCUUCUUUUGUUGUCAAGUUCCUUUGAUAAAUGGUUGUGCUGUAGAGCUGAGAGAGAAGAGGGAAGAAGGUCGGUGGAGAAAAGCCGAGGGGUUCCAGCACUUCCUUCAAGCACCGGCACAAACCCGACCUGCUCGUUUGUCAACUUUCUCAGCCCCUAAUCCAAACAUGCUUGAAAGCCCCUGGCCCCAAGACUUGGUACUCGUUCACUCUUCUUUCUCUCCAGACCCGGGUAGAGAGAGACCUAUUCCCAGCCGGCAGUCGAGCUCAGGACGCGGGGCUCGGAAUUUCUCAGUCGACAGAGCAGAGCAGAGGAAAGCUGAGCAGAGCGCACCCACUCAGCCUUAG
rnacentral:lncRNA from 1 species